CAAAUCAAAGCUUAUUAAUAAGUUUUUCAUUUACAUUGAAAAGAAAUUGUUUAAAUCAAUAUGAUUUGA
rnacentral:tRNA from 1 species